AAAGCUGUCUCCAGAAAUGUCACCGUGUUUUAUUAAUGAGAAAAUAAUAACAUGAGCUAUUAAGUGACCUUGUGAUGUGCUGUCCGGUUGCUGUUGCCGUUACAGAGUAUCAGAAAAACAGGCCAGCCAAGACUGGAGUAAUGGGAGGUCGUAACCCCAGAGGUCCUGGGAGAGAGGUGAGAGUUUACACUAGGGCCCUGAAGAGGAUUCCCAGGCCGGCGAAACAUACCUAAACCAUAGAGACACCGCGAGACACGUCAUCAGACGGACAGCAGUGGCGCUGCGGUGUGUUUGUCCCCCAGACAAAGGCGAAAAAAGCGAGAGUGAAGGACGGCGUGGAGUCAGGACAGAGGAGAUUGCUGGGUGAUUAAGUCAUUUCAGGAAAAAAAAAAAAAAAAAAAAGUCAAAAAGGCAAUGACAGAGGCAAGAACAAGUGUUUUAGGGGAAGUAAACAUCACUAAACACACACUUCUCAAUAGUCCCAGUGCCACCAGUAUAAUAAAGCAUAAAUAUAGGCUGCACUGUUUAAAUCCACAACCAGACUCCUGCACAAACAUCCUGCUGAGGACGGCUCCUUUUCAAUCAGAGCACCCAGAGUGGAGCACCCUAUCAUCGCCACUGCUGAGUAAGACAUCAGCAUUGUGACCCGUGUAUAAAAGAGCGUGUGUGUGUGUGUGUGUGUGUGUGUGUGUGUGUGUGUGUGUGUAUUCUGAUGCAACGUCUGUACGGAUUAGCACACCACUGAAAACCCGACCCCGGGCUCCUCAAGAGCAACUUAACAGAGAAUUGGUUAAAUUUUGCAAUCAGUUCUCUCCCUGAAAGAUGAUUCGCUGAUGAUUAAUAAAGGAAAGGUCCUGC